rnacentral:rRNA from 1 species
AUGCAAGUCGAACGAGCGAGAGAGAGCUUGCUUUCUCGAGCGAGUGGCGAACGGGUGAGUAACGCGUGAGGAACCUGCCUCAAAGAGGGGGACAACAGUUGGAAACGACUGCUAAUACCGCAUAAGCCCACGGGUCGGCAUCGACCAGAGGGAAAAGGAGCAAUCCGCUUUGAGAUGGCCUCGCGUCCGAUUAGCUAGUUGGUGAGGUAAUGGCCCACCAAGGCGACGAUCGGUAGCCGGACUGAGAGGUUGAACGGCCACAUUGGGACUGAGACACGGCCCAGACUCCUACGGGAGGCAGCAGUGGGGAAUAUUGCACAAUGGGGGAAACCCUGAUGCAGCGACGCCGCGUGGAGGAAGAAGGUCUUCGGAUUGUAAACUCCUGUUGUUGAGGAAGAUAAUGACGGUACUCAACAAGGAAGUGACGGCUAACUACGUGCCAGC